AGAGUUUGAUCCUGGCUCAGAUUGAACGCUGGCGGCAUGCUUUACACAUGCAAGUCGAGCGGCAGCGCGGGGGCAACCCUGGCGGCGAGCGGCGAACGGGUGAGUAAUACAUCGGAACGUGUCCCGUAGUGGGGGAUAGCCCGGCGAAAGCCGGAUUAAUACCGCAUAUGCUCUACGGAGGAAAGCGGGGGAUUCGCAAGAACCUCGCGCUAUGGGAGCGGCCGAUGUCCGAUUAGCUUGUUGGUGAGGUAAAGGCUUACCAAGGCGACGAUCGGUAGCUGGUCUGAGAGGAUGAUCAGCCACACUGGGACUGAGACACGGCCCAGACUCCUACGGGAGGCAGCAGUGGGGAAUUUUGGACAAUGGGGGAAACCCUGAUCCAGCCAUGCCGCGUGCGGGAAGAAGGCCUUCGGGUUGUAAACCGCUUUUGUCCGGGAAGAAAUGGCAUCCCCUAAUACGGGAUGUUCCUGACGGUACUGGAAGAAUAAGCACCGGCUAACUACGUGCCAGCAGCCGCGGUAAUACGUAGGGUGCGAGCGUUAAUCGGAAUUACUGGGCGUAAAGCGUGCGCAGGCGGUUCGUCAAGUCUGAUGUGAAAGCCCCGGGCUCAACCUGGGAAUGGCAUUGGAAACUAGCGAGCUUGAGUGUGGCGAGGGGGGUGGAAUUCCACGUGUAGCGUGAAAUGCGUAGAGAUGUGGAGGAACACCGAUGGCGAAGGCAGCCCCCUGGGCUAACACUGACGCUCAUGCACGAAAGCGUGGGGACAACAGGAUUAGAUACCCUAGUAGUCC
rnacentral:rRNA from 1 species